rnacentral:rRNA from 1 species
AUGCCGGAAUGAGUAGCGCGAAUGCAGUGAGAAUCUGCAUGGCCGAAAGCCUCAGGUUUCUGGAGGAAGGUUCGUCCGCUCCAGGUUAGUCGGGAGCUAAGGUGAGGCCGGAAGGCGUAGCCGAUGCACAGACGGUAGAGAUUCCGUCACCACCAAAAGAGUUAAGCACAGGGACACAUAUGAAGUCUCAGAGCCGGGUGUUGGUUCCGGUAGAGAUCGAGGGAAAUUAGUACCGAAGUCUGAGAUGGAAGAUGGCGAGAAAAGCUGUGUGUAUUUCUGAGGUGCCCGUACCGCAAACCGACACAGGUAGGUAGGAAGAAGAUUCUAAGGCCAACGGGAGAAGGGUUGUUAAGGAACUCGGCAAAUUGACCCCGUAACUUCGGGAGAAGGGGUGCUCAGAGAUGGAGCCGCAGAGAAUCGGCCCAAGCAACUGUUUACCAAAAACACAGGUUUGUGCUAAAUCGAAAGAUGACGUAUACGAGCUGACGCCUGCCCGGUGCUGGAAGGUUAAGAGGAGAUGUGCAAGCAUUGAAUCGAAGCCCCAGUGAACGGCGGCCGUAACAAUAACGGUCCUAAGGUAGCGAAAUUCCUUGUCAGGUAAGUUCUGACCCGCAUGAAAGGCGUAAUGAUUUGGGCACUGUCUCAACAGCCCGCCCGGCGAAAUUGUAGUACCGGUGAAGAUGCCGGUUACCCGCGACAAGACGGAAAGACCCCAUGGAGCUUUACUGUAGCCUAAUAUUGGGUUUCGAUGUUGCAUGCACAGGAUAGAUGGGACUCUAGGAAACCAAGGCUUUGGCUUUGGCGGAGAGGCCGUUGGGAUACCAUCCUUGCGAUAUUGGAAUUCUAACCUGCGGCUCUGAAUCGAGUCGGGGGACAUUGUUAGGUGGGCAGUUUGACUGGGGCGGUCGCCUCCUAAAGAGUAACGGAGGCGUUCAAAGGUUCGCUCAGCUUGAACGGAAAUCAAGCAAAAGAGUGCAAACGCAGAAGCGAGCCUAACUGCGAGACUGACGGGUCGAGCAGUAACGAAAGUUGGAGUUAGUGAUCCGGUGGUAUGUGAGUGGAAAUGCCAUCGCUCAACGGAUAAAAGUUACCCUGGGGAUAACAGGCUGAUCUCCCCCAAGAGUCCACAUCGACGGGGAGGUUUGGCACCUCGAUGUCGGCUCAUCGCAUCCUGGGGCUGUAUUCGGUCCCAAGGGUUUGGCUGUUCGCCAAUUAAAGCGGUACGCGAGCUGGGUUCAGAACGUCGUGAGACAGUUCGGUCCCUAUCUGUCGUGGGCGCAGGAUAUUUGAUGGGAGCUGUCCCUAGUACGAGAGGACCGGGACGGACGUACCUCUGGCGCACCAGUUGUUCCGCCAGGAGCAUAGCUGGGCAACUACGUACGGAUCGGAUAAACGCUGAAAGCAUCUAAGCGUGAAGCCGACCCAAAGAUAAGAUAUCCCACUGAUUCAAUCAGGUAAGAUCCCUUGUAGACUACGAGGUUGAUAGGCACGAUGUGUAAGUGGAGUGAUCCAUUCAGCAAGUGUGUACUAAUAGAUCGAGGGCUUGACC